GACGAACGCUGGCGGCGUGCUUAACACAUGCAAGUCGAACGGUGAAGCUCCAGCUUGCUGGAGUGGAUCAGUGGCGAACGGGUGAGUAACACGUGAGCAACCUGCCCCUGACUCUGGAAUAAGCGCUGGAAACGGCGUCUAAUACUGGAUACGAGAAGGGUCCGCAUGGGCACUUUCUGAAAAGUUUUUCGGUUGGGGAUGGGCUCGCGGCCUAUCAGCUUGUUGGUGAGGUAAUGGCUCACCAAGGCGACGACGGGUAGCCGGCCUGAGAGGGCGACCGGCCACACUGGGACUGAGACACGGCCCAGACUCCUACGGGAGGCAGCAGUGGGGAAUAUUGCACAAUGGGCGAAAGCCUGAUGCAGCGACGCCGCGUGAGGGAUGACGGCCUUCGGGUUGUAAACCUCUUUCAGCAGGGAAGAAGCGAAAGUGACAGUACCUGCAGAAGAAGCACCGGCUAACUACGUG
rnacentral:rRNA from 1 species